GUGAAGAGAAGAGGUGCCUGCAGCAGAGCCUGCCCUGUCCCCUCCGUGGUUCCACAUCCGUGCCUCUGAGGACCUUGGACCCCCAAAGCGAGGCCCGAAGGUGAGGGACGGCCGGUGUCAUCGUUGGAGCUUCCUAAGAGUCCCAGAGGCUGAUGCACCUCCCAGACUCUCCUCGGCCCGGCUCCCUGGGCCCUGCUCCAGGGGCUUCAUUGCUCCCUGCCCCGGGUCACCCCUCGGCUCACCGUCUCUCAGGUGUGGAAUAUCCUGCUCCAAUCAAAGCCAUGUCACCUGCGUUGUCCAGUGAAACAUCAGUGGACAGGCGCUGCCCGGGCUCCAGGGAGCUCCUCACUGAGGCUCACUCCCUGUGCCUCUGCCAUCAGCACAGGGGGACAUGCCUGGCUGCCUGUGGGACCAGGGAGGACGCGCGGUGCGGGAGCAGAGCCAGCCACACUGCCGCUGCUGCACUGUUCAUCUGAGUGGCGCAAGAUUCAGUGCCUGCGUCAUAGAAGGGUCCGUGUCAGUAAGGAAGUGAAAAGCAAGAUGGAAUACUGGAACUCUCCUGGCAGAUUGUCUGAAGUCAAUGUGUUUUCUGGUAUGGCUUCUUCUUUGUUUUCUUCCUCAUCAUCCGGCGCUGGUUCAGAAGCACUCACCUCCAUCAAGUCGUCUUCUGGUUAUUGUCUUCUGUGAAUUCCUCUGGUGUGGUGUCUGUUAGCUCUUGGAUUUCUCCAAGAUCCAUAUCUUGAAAUUCUUCAACCCCCCAUCAUUAUUUUUGCCAGAUGCACAAUCACUUUCAUGAUUUUUUUGAUUGGCUCUGUUGUAAACCCUGUGAAGUCAUGUACAACAUCCAGACAUAGUUUUUUUUUUUCCAGCAGGAAUUCAUAGUUUCAGACUCGAUGGCUUUCACAGCUUUUUCUACCGAUGGCAUCUUCCACGGUGUAGUCCUUCCAGACUUACAUGACAUUCUUGCUACUGGAAUUCUGUUCCAUAACGUUGACAAUCCUGGCCAUACAGUACUGUGCUUAAUGGGCCUUAAAAGUCCUUAUGACUCCUGAUCUAGAGGCUGAAUUAGAGACAUUGUAUUUGUCUUGUCUUGUAUUGUAUUAAAGACAUUGUAUUGUAUUUGGGGACAAGACCGCUUUGAUGCCUUUGGUGUUGAACCCAAGGCGUUCUGGGUGGCCAGGGACAUUAUCCAAAAUCAAACAGAUUUUAAAAGGCAGUCCCUUACUGGCAAGGUACUUCCUUACAUCAGGGACAAAGCAUCCAUGAAAUCAAUCCAGGAAAAGGGUGCUCACUGUCCAGACCUCCAUGUUGUACAAGAGACUGGCGGCUGGUGUUUAUCUUUUCUCUUCAAGCCUUGGGGGUUAGCAGCUUUAUAGAUAAGGGCAGUCCUGACCAUAAACCCAACUGCAUUUGCACAAAACAGUAGAGUUGGCCUCUCCCUGCCUGCCUUCAGUGCUGGUGCUCACUUCUCUUUCUUACUAAUAAAUGUCAUUUGUGGCAUUUUCCUCCCAAAAUAGAGCACUUUCAUCAGCAUUAAAAAUCUGUUCAGGCAGAUAGCCUUUAUGCUCAUUGAUUUUCUUAAUGGUGUCUAGUAACUUGUCUCCUACUUCUUGGUAAGCAGAAGCUGCUUCUCCUGUUAUCCUGACAUUUUUUGAAAGCCAAACCUCUCUCUUUCUAAAAUUAUCAAACCAUCUUUGGCUGGCAUUAAACUCUCCAGCUUUAGCUUCUUCACCUUCCUUUUGCUUUAAGUUGUCAGAUAAUGACUUCAGUUUUUCUCAAAUCAUUAAAGUCUACAGUAUGCCUUUCUCGUAGUAAUUCUGCACCCACACAAAAGCUGCAUUUUCAAUAUGAAAUUCAAACGUAUGCUACAAAAAGUGUGAGGUGUUUGUGCUUGCUGGUAUAGCUGCAGCAACGGCUUCAUGGAUUUCCUUUUCUUUCUUUCUUUCUUUUUUUUGUAAUGGUCCUUACGCUAAAUUCAUUUAUCUUGAAUUGGCAAGCAAUCUCAGCUGCAGACCUUGACCUAGAGUACAUAUCAGGCAAUUCAACUUUGUAUUGUAAUGUCAUGACUUUUCUCUGCUUCUUGGAGCACUUCCAGCAUCACUAGUGGCACUUCUCGUAGGUCUCAUGGUGUUACUCAAGGUUUAUGGUAUUGCAGUAAAUAUGAUUAAAAAAAUACAUGAGAACCACAAGAGAUCACUUUUUACUGCAAUAUGUAAUUUACUGGAGCGAUGAGCUGUGCAUGGGGAGGUGAUUAGCAUCACACUGCAUUUCCAGCAAAUACUCAGAACACUUGAGCUCACCGUAGUAGCAACAGGAGGUGGCCAUGAAAUUAUGACAGUGGUAUGUGACGUACUACAGUGAGUUUUAUGCAUCUUUAUGUUUGUUUACAUUUCUCUUGACUGUGAAUGAUGCCAUGUAAAGUCUGUGUUUAUAUGUGUAAUUUUGAUAAAUUUUAACUUUUAUAAUAAUUUGUCUAACAUUGUGGUAGUAAAUGAUAAGAUAGGCUAGUAUCUACAUUUAUUUUAUGUAUUCAUGGUAUGCCUAACUUUAAUUUUUUUCCAAUAUUUCUAGGUUAUGUGUUUCAGCUGCGAGUUUUUCAAAUUGUUGCAAAUCUUCAAACAUUUUUCCAACAAAUUUACUGAAAAAAAUCCACAUAUAAGUGGCACCCCCACCAGUUUAAACCUGUGUUGUUCAAGAGUCAGCUAUUUUUAUGAGGUGUUUUCAAAAGUUUAUGGAAAAUGAAUCUUAUGAAUAAAACUAUGCAUGGAUUUCAAAUCUUUUGCACCAAAAUAAACUCAUACUAACUUGUUA
rnacentral:lncRNA from 1 species